rnacentral:tRNA from 1 species
GGUGUAGCUCAGUGGUAGAGCACAUGCUUAGCAUGCAUGAGGCCUUAAGUUCAAUCCUCAGCACC